UUACGCUGCCGUGAUUCGAGCUUAUAAUCCGCUGCCCCCUAAUUUCUAUCACCGUGUCUUCUGCCCUAUGGUGGAGGAUAACCCCGGGAAACUGGGGAUAAUACUCCAUAAGUCAGGAGUACUGGAAUGUCUCCUAACUGAAAGUUGCGGCGCCAUAGGAUGAAUCUGCGGCCGAUUAGGUAGUUGUUGGGGUAACGGCCCAACUUGUUUGUAAUCGGUACGGGUUGUGGGAGCAAGAGCCCGGAGAUGGAAUCUGAGACACGAUUCCAGGCCCUACCCCACCACACGCAGGCGCGAAAACUUUACAAUGCAGGAAACUUCUUUUUAUGGGAACCCCGAGUGCCCGUACACGCGGGCUGUCCCGGUGUUUAUAACACAUCGGAAGAAAGGGCCGGGCAAGACCGGUGCCAGCCGCCGCGGUAAUACCGGCGGCUCGAGUGGUGACCACUUUUAUUGGGCUUAAAGCGUUCGUAGCUUGAUUUUUAAGUCUCUUGGGAAAUCUUACGGCUUAACUGUGAGGCGUCUAAGAGAUACUGGGAAUCUAGGGACCGGGAGAGGUAAGAGGUACUUCAGGGGUAGAGUGAAAUUCUGUAUCCUUGAGGGACCACCGAUGCGAGCAUCUUACAGACCGCUUCGACAGUGAGACGAGCUGGGGAGCGAACGGGAUAGAUACCCGUAGUCCAGCGUAACUAAUGCGCGUUUAGGUGUGUCUGU
rnacentral:rRNA from 1 species